rnacentral:rRNA from 1 species
CAAUAGCGUAUAUUAAAGUUGUUGCGGUUAAAAAGCUCGUAGUUGGAUUUCUGUUGAUAACGGCCGGUCCGCACUAUGUGCGUGUAUCAGGUUCGGUGUCGGCAUCCUCGUGGGGAUCGUUUCUGUGCUUGAUUGCAUGGGGCGGAAUUCACGACUUUUACUUGAGGAAAUUAGAGUGUUCACGGCAAGCUAUCGCUUUGAAUACAUUAGCAUGGAAUAAUGAUAUAGGGCGUAAGUUCUAUUUUGUUGGUUUCUAGGACGUACGCAAUGAUUAAUAGGGAUAAUUGGGGGCAUUCGUAUUAACGCGUCAGAGGUGGAAUUCUUAGAUUGCGUUACGACGAACUACUACAGAACGAUCGCAUUGCAAGAUGUUUUUCAUUGAUCAAGAACGAAAGUAUGGGGAUCGAAGAUGAUCAGAU